rnacentral:rRNA from 1 species
UACGUAGGGUGCAGGCGUUAAUCGGAAUUACUGGGCGUAAAGCGUGCGCAGGCGGCUUUGCAAGACAGAUGUGAAAUCCCCGGGCUCAACCUGGGAACUGCAUUUGUGACUGCAAGGCUGGAGUACGGCAGAGGGGGAUGGAAUUCCGCGUGUAGCAGUGAAAUGCGUAGAUAUGCGGAGGAACACCGAUGGCGAAGGCAAUCCCCUGGGCCUGUACUGACGCUCAUGCACGAAAGCGUGGGGAGCAAACAGG